AUGAACGCUGGCGGCGUGCCUAAUCCCUGCAAGUCGAGCGCACGGACGAGAAGCUUGCUUCUCUGAUGUUAGCGGCGGACGGGUGAGUAACACUUGGAUAACCUACCUAUAAGACUGGGAUAACUUCGGGAAACCGGAGCUAAUACCGGAUAAUAUUUUGAACCGCAUGGUUCAAAAGUGAAAGACGGUCUUGCUGUCACUUAUAGAUGGAUCCGCGCUGCAUUAGCUAGUUGGUAAGGUAACGGCUUACCAAGGCAACGAUGCAUAGCCGACCUGAGAGGGUGAUCGGCCACACUGGAACUGAGACACGGUCCAGACUCCUACGGGAGGCAGCAGUAGGGAAUCUUCCGCAAUGGGCGAAAGCCUGACGGAGCAACGCCGCGUGAGUGAUGAAGGUCUUCGGAUCGUAAAACUCUGUUAUUAGGGAAGAACAUAUGUGUAAGUAACUGUGCACAUCUUGACGGUACCUAAUCAGAAAGCCACGGCUAACUACGUG
rnacentral:rRNA from 1 species